rnacentral:lncRNA from 1 species
CAAAUGGAAAUAAGCAGCUAAUCAUGAACAGAUUCUCCACUCUCUGGAAGAAAUCACAGAAAACAAGAAAGAAAAAUAAAACCACCACAAAUUCCUAAUUUAAUCUUGACAUGGAAGUACUUUAAAACACAAACAAGAUUCAAGAGUAAACAAAGGCUCCAGCAAGGUGGCUCACACCUCUAAUCCCAGCCGUUUGGGAGACUGAGGUGGACGGAUCACUUAAAGACAAAAAUUCAAGACCAGCCUGUGCAACAUGGCAAAACCCUGUAAUAAUACAAAAAUUAGCCGGGCAUGGUGGCACGUGCCUCGUGGCACGUGCCUGUAGUCCCAGCUACUUGGGAGGCUG